UGAGGAAUAUUGGUCAAUGGGCGUAAGCCUGAACCAGCCAAGUCGCGUGAGGGAUGAAGGUUCUAUGGAUCGUAAACCUCUUUUAUAAGGGAAUAAAGUGUGGGACGUGUCCCGUUUUGUAUGUACCUUAUGAAUAAGGAUCGGCUAACUCCGUGCCAGCAGCCGCGGUAAUACGGAGGAUCCGAGCGUUAUCCGGAUUUAUUGGGUUUAAAGGGUGCGUAGGCGGCCUUUUAAGUCAGCGGUGAAAGUCUGUGGCUCAACCAUAGAAUUGCCGUUGAAACUGGGGGGCUUGAGUAUGUUUGAGGCAGGCGGAAUGCGUGGUGUAGCGGUGAAAUGCUUAGAUAUCAUGAAGAACUCCGAUCGCGAAGGCAAGUGCCCGGGGGUGCAACUGACGCUGAGGCUCGAAGGUGCGGGUAUCGAACAGGAUUAGAUACCC
rnacentral:rRNA from 1 species